CCAUGGAGGAAGGAAAGAUAGCGGAGAUGCCAUAAGGAAGGUAGGUCAGGCGCCUUCUUGUAGGUCAAGCAACGUAUGGUAGGCGUGAUCAGUUACUAGAACUAACGAGGCGUUCGGGUUCCUUGUCAAAUCAAAACCAAUCUGUCAAAGAUUGGUCUUGAUAGAUUGGUGAUUUUAUUUUGAAAAUAAUG
rnacentral:lncRNA from 1 species